UACUCCCAACAAGGAUGGGUGUAUUUCUCCCACAGUUUUUAUUACAUUUCUUCUAUUAACAAGUCCUGGCAAGACAGUAGAGACGACUGUCUGCAAAGAGGUGCAGACCUGAUCAUUAUCAACAGCAGAGAAGAACAGGAAUUUGCAAGAAAGUUCAAAGGGCUCAGCUGGAUUGGACUGACUGACAGUGAGACAGAGGGGACAUGGACAUGGGUGGAUGGGACUGCACUGAACACAAGCUACUGGAAAGCUGGGGAGCCCAACAGCCAUCAAGGCAUUGAUGAAGACUGUGGAGAAAUAAAGCUUUAUGACAGGGAAUACAACUGGAAUGAUUCACCAUGUAAAAAGCUAAACUUCUGGAUCUGUGAGAAGGUGGUGGCUCCAUGACUCAGCAUCCAAAUCUGCCCUAGACUGGCGAUCGAUAAGCUGCAGGGGAAGUGUCUCAUCAUCAUGUACGAACACCAACAUGUCACCACAGGAAAAACACAGGUGUCAAUAAUAAAAUGAAUGAUGGCUAAAGUCCAUGUAACUGCUUCACUUUCAGGGUCCUGGUGUG